GACGAACGCUGGCGGCGUGCUUAAAACAUGCAAGUCGAACGGAAAGGCCUUGUUUUUGUGGGAUCUUCGAGUGCAGAACGGGUGAGUAUCACGUGAGUAACCUGCCCUUGACUUUGGGAUAACUCAAGGAAAAAGGGGCUAAUACACGAUAUGAGAUCCUGCUACAUGGUUGGGGUUGGAGAGUUUCGGUGUUUGGGGAUGGAAGCGUGGCCAAUCAGCUUGUUGGUGAGGUUGUGGCUUACAAAGGCUUGGACGGGUAGCCGGCCUGGGAGGGUGACAGGGCACAUAGGGACUGAGGUACGGGCAGGACGGCUACGGGGGGCAGCGGUGGGAAAUAGUGCGCGAUGGGCGGAGGGCGGAUGCAGCAUCGCCGGGUGCUGAAUGACGGCCUGCAGGGUGGAAAGCUGGUUCGCCUGGAACGAAGCGUGAGUGACGGUAAUUGGUAAAGAAGCACCGGCUAACUACGUG
rnacentral:rRNA from 1 species